UGGGGAAUAUUGGGCAAUGGGCGCAAGCCUGACCCAGCAACGCCGCGUGGAGGAAGAAGGCCCUCGGGUUGUAAACUCCUGUCUUUGGGGACGAUAAUGACGGUACCCAAGGAGGAAGCCACGGCUAACUACGUGCCAGCAGCCGCGGUAAAACGUAGGUGGCAAGCGUUGUCCGGAAUUACUGGGUGUAAAGGGAGCGCAGGCGGAGCGGCAAGUUGGAGGUGAAACCCAUGGGCUCAACCCAUGAACUGCCUUCAAAAACUGUCGGUCUUGAGUGGUGUAGAGGUAAGCGGAAUUCCCGGUGUAGCGGUGGAAUGCGUAGAUAUCGGGAGGAACACCAGUGGCGAAGGCGGCUUACUGGGCACUAACUGACGCUGAGGCUCGAAAGCAUGGGUAGCAAACAGGAUUAGAUACC
rnacentral:rRNA from 1 species